AUUGAACGCUGGCGGCAUGCUUUACACAUGCAAGUCGGGCGGCAGCACAGAGAAGCUUGCUUCUUGGGUGGCGAGUGGCGAACGGGUGAGUAACAUAUCGGAACGUACCGAGCAGUGGGGGAUAACUAAUCGAAAGAUUAGCUAAUACCGCAUAUCUUCUGAGGAAGAAAGCAGGGGACCAUUUGGCCUUGCGCUGUUUGAGCGGCCGAUAUCUGAUUAGCUAGUUGGUGGGGUAAAGGCCUACCAAGGCGACGAUCAGUAGCGGGUCUGAGAGGAUGAUCCGCCACACUGGGACUGAGACACGGCCCAGACUCCUACGGGAGGCAGCAGUGGGGAAUUUUGGACAAUGGGCGCAAGCCUGAUCCAGCCAUGCCGCGAGUCUGAAGAAGGCCUUCGGGUUGUAAAGGACUUUUGUCAGGGAAGAAAAGGGCGGGGUUAAUACCCCUGUCUGAUGACGGUACCUGAAGAAUAAGCACCGGCUAACUACGUG
rnacentral:rRNA from 1 species